UAGGCUCCAGAAACAGAGGUGUGGG
rnacentral:piRNA from 1 species